AUGAUAUUAUCACCUCUUAGGCUUGCCAUGCUGCCUCCCAUGGAAGGGUGGCUACGCUUGUGCUUGGUAGCCCUAUUUACCCUACUAGCGAUUUGGCUCCUCAAGCUCAUCACUGGUGGAAAGUGCAGACCGGCUGCCAAGAAACAGCUGCCUCCUGGGCCAUGGACUCUCCCCGUCAUCGGCAGCCUCCACCACGUCGCCAGCGUCCUCCCCCACCGCACGCUGAUGGAGCUAUCUCGCCGGCACGGGCCGCUGAUGCUUCUCAGGCUAGGCGAGGCCCCCACCGUGAUCGUCUCCACCGCCGAGGCCGCCGCACUUGUUAUGAAGACCAACGACCUCGCGUUUGCGGGCCGACCGCAGAGCGCGACGUUGGACGUCUUCGGCUGCGGCGGCAAGGGGAUCGCCUUAGCACCCUAUGGUGACCACUGGCGCCAGAUGCUCAAGGUCUCCAUCGUGGAGCUUCUCAGUUCCAGGCAGGUGAAGCGCCUCGAGGGCAUCAGGGCCGAGGAGGUGGGCAACCUCCUCCGUUCCAUCACCGCCGCCGCCUCGAGUGGUGGCGCCACCAUCAACCUAAGCGAGAAGAUGACGGCGCUCAGCAACCACGUCGUCACGCGGGCGGUUUUCGGCGGCAAGUUCUCGCAGCAGGAGGAGUACCUCCGGGAGAUGGCCAAGGUGUUUGUGAUGAUGGGCGGCUUCUGUCUCGUCGACCUUUUCCCUUCGUCGCGGUUGGUGCGGUGGUUGAGCAAUGGUGAGCGUGACAUGAAGAAUAGCUGUGGCCGCAUGCACCACAUCAUCUCUGACAUCAUACAGGAGCGCAAGGCCGCGCGAGCUGCCGGCGUCGGCCCCGACGACGACAAGGAGGACCUGCUGGACGUGCUGCUCAGGCUGCAGAAGGACGACUCGCUGGAAUUCCCUCUAACCACAGAGAGCAUAAGUACCGUCUUGUUGGACAUAUUUGCAGGUGGCACAGAAACAACAGGAAGUACCUUGGCAUGGGCCAUGUCGGAGCUUGUGCGCAAUCCAGAAAUUAUGGCUAAGGCACAACAAGAAAUACAGGAGGUGGUAGGUGAAGACCGAGCUGUCAUUACUAACAGUGAUCUCACUAAACUCCGCUACACGGAGAUGGUCAUCAAGGAGGCCCUUAGGUUGCAUCCGCCCGUUCCUCUGAUCCCACGCGCGGCUAGAGAGGAUUGUACGGUUAUGGGUUUUGACAUACCUAAAGGCACCAAUGUUUACAUUAAUGUCGUCGCAAUUUCUCAAGAUCCUGAACACUGGAGCAGUCCUGCAGAGUUUAAGCCAGAGAGGUUUGAGAACAACCCAGUGAAUUACAAUGGAACAUAUCUCGAAUUCAUUCCCUUCGGCGCCGGGCGACGGCAAUGCCCCGGGACCCAGUUUGGCACGUCGCUCGUGGAGAUGGUGUUAACAAACAUUCUAUAUCACUUCGAUUGGAAGCUUCUUGAUGGGGCUAGCCUCGCUUCGUUUGACAUGUCCGAGAAAUUUGGGCUUACACUACACAGAAGGAAUGACCUGAAACUCAGAGCUACUCCACACGUGUUGUCCAAAGCUAUGCCGUUGGAGUGA
rnacentral:rRNA from 1 species